GGGCCUGUAGCUCAGUCGGUUAGAGUACUCCUCUGAUAAGGGAGAGGUUCCUGGUUCGAGUCCAGGCAGGCCCA
rnacentral:tRNA from 1 species